GCAGAAAUCUCGACAAGUGACGGCGAAGAAACGAAGGAGUACAUUGGAAUGACGGCGGGGACGUUCAAGAAGAGGCAUGCCAACCAUAAAAAAUCACUAACUGUUCUUCGGUAUUCAGCGGAAACAGAGUUAUCAAAGUAUGCGUGGAAACUCAAGAAAAGCGGGAAGCAAUACAACAUCAAGUGGAGCAUACUAAAGCGUGCCCGUGCGUAUACGGCUGGUGCAGCAAGAUGCAAUCUGUGCCUUGAAGAGAAGGUUUGCUUACUGGAAGCUGACAAAAGCAGGAUAUUGAAUAAACGCUCAGAAAUAUUCGCGAAAUGCUGUCAUAGAAAUAGUUUUAGCGCGCGAGAUGCGUCAGCAAACCGUUAGUUUAGAGCACGUCAUUGAAUCAACUUCAUUCGCCUGAAGAUCGCUUUGAAAGAAGCGUGAAACACAGUGUAGCGACAAAUCUGUUAUACUUAGAUCCAGAAGGUCAGAAAGUGUUUUCGCCCGGACCAUUUGUGGCAUUUAAAACUGGCCGCAACUUAAAAAGUUAUUUAGUUAGGGCUAAAGUACCGCCGUUAGUGAGGGAAAAGGGGUG